rnacentral:rRNA from 1 species
GACGAACGCUGGCGGCGUGCUUAACACAUGCAAGUCGAACGGAAAGGCCCUGCUUUUGUGGGGUGCUCGAGUGGCGAACGGGUGAGUAACACGUGAGUAACCUGCCCUUGACUUUGGGAUAACUUCAGGAAACUGGGGCUAAUACCGGAUAGGAGCUCCUGCUGCAUGGUGGGGGUUGGAAAGUUUCGGCGGUUGGGGAUGGACUCGCGGCUUAUCAGCUUGUUGGUGGGGUAGUGGCUUACCAAGGCUUUGACGGGUAGCCGGCCUGAGAGGGUGACCGGCCACAUUGGGCCUGAGAUACGGCCCAGACUCCUACGGGAGGCAGCAGUGGGGAAUAUUGCACAAUGGGCGGAAGCCUGAUGCAGCAACGCCGCGUGCGGAAUGACGGCCUUCGGGUUGUAAACCGCUUUCGCCUGUGACGAAGCGUGAGUGACGGUAAUGGGUAAAGAAGCACCGGCUAACUACGUG